rnacentral:RNase_P_RNA from 1 species
CGCCGAUGGCCCGCGCAAGCGGGAUCAGGUAAGGGUGAAAGGGUGCGGUAAGAGCGCACCGCGCGGCUGGUAACAGUCCGUGGCACGGUAAACUCCACCCGGAGCAAGGCCAAAUAGGGGUUCAUAAGGUACGGCCCGUACUGAACCCGGGUAGGCUGCUUGAGCCAGUGAGCGAUUGCUGGCCUAGAUGAAUGACUGUCCACGACAGAACCCGGCUUAUCGGUCAGUUUCACCU